GGGGAUCCUCUAAUUGGUGAAAGUGUUCAAUAGGGGCAAUCUGAGAUCACAUGUUUGGCACUUUUCCUUUUUUUCUCGUGUGGUUUGAUAUCUUAAUAUGUGUUCUCAGGUCGCCCCUGUCGAACUAUUUUUUACCGAAUAAGAUGGUUUAUCAUGUUUGGUAUACAAAAAGAUGUUUUUAUCAUGUUCGAGAACUUCGCCUGAAUGAGCUUUCUCACAAUGUCCUUCUCAAGUCUGAUAAAGGAGAAGGGACAUUGUGGUAGGCUGAUAGCGAGCGUAAAACUAGUCAACUCAUAGUGAAUCCUCAAAAUACAGAUAAAUGAACAAUGAUGAUUCAUAUACUCAAGAUCCUAACUUUUAUGAUGUGCCAACUUGCUUGAAAGGUUUGACCAAGGUAAGUUUUAUUACUCCACAUAUUAAUUUUUUGAACUUAUGUGAUUGUACGUUAAUAACCGAUUAUGGCGUAUAGCUGCAAUAAAAAAAGGACAGCCCAAUGCAUAAAGUAUUCCGUGUUUACGCAGGGUUCGAGGAAGGGCAACACCUAAGGAAUGUGAUAUAAAGAAAACUAAAUAAUGUAAUGAGACUCAUUCAUGCAGAAUGUAGUAACAGAUUUCAGAAAUAAUACAAUUAUUAGUUCUAAUAAUUUAAGAUUUUUUUCAUGAUUUCACUAGCUCAAUAAAGCAAGGAAGUGUGUUUUCAUACAUAAUAUUACUUUAAGGAAACAUGAGAUAACUCUAUAAUAGGGGAAUCAAAUAGCCAUUUUAAGACUAUUACAAAAGGGAGCUGCACUUAGGACAUUGAGAUCAGGGCCCAAUGCAACAAAAUGCCAACAUCUUCUUUUUCCUCUGCACCCAAAAAAGAAAAAUAGGUAUAAGUCCAGGAUAGUUUAGAGACGGAUCCAGGAUUUGAUAUUAAUAGUGCACAUGAAUACGAACUUCGUGUGUGUAUGUGUAUAUGAUUUUUUUUUCCAAAUAUAUGCAUAUAUUUUAGAGUUGAAGGUAGCAAUUGCGCCUGCACCAGAAUGCCACUGAGCUACAUUUUCCCUAUUGAUGGCAGUGGCGGACCCAAGUGGUGGCUAGCGGGUUCAACUGAACCCGCUUCACCAAAAAAUAAUACUGUGUAUAUGUAUAAAUUAGGAUUAAAGCUGUAUAAAUUUUGUAUAAAUAUUUAUUUGAACCCACUUGACAACUACUAUUUUAAACUAAAGUUAUAUACUUCUAAGAUUGAACCCGCUUGCAUAAAAUUCUGGGUCCGCCACUGAUUGAUGGCAUGGUAUAUAGGAAACAAGCGAUAUUAUCCACUUGACAUUUAAGUUAUAUGCACUGAUAGUAUAAAAUUUUAUACACGACCAGUGUAGUUUAACCAAGAAAAGUAGGUUAGUUAUCAUUUUUAUCAAGUUAUUGAUUAAAGUUUAUCAUAGAUUUAUCUGUAAUUACCAUAUAGUAGGCGAAUUGAGUUUAGUAAUAAGUCUUACCAUGCAAGAAUCUUCAUGUUGCUUCCUAAGAGCUUCCUGUUCAUGAUCGAUACUAGGUGGUCGCGCUAAAAGAUCAUUAUUUUUGUGUUGUUUUCUGUUGACGCGAGCUUUUGAAAAUUCGACAGUAUAACUUGCAGCACCUCCAGUUUGUUGAUCCCACAUUCCAAAUUGAGGUACAGACCUGUAUCCAUUUUUCUGCAGUUUCAACAGAUAUAGGAAAAUCAUUUAGUUAGAAACUCAGAGCUAGAGAUCAAUAUAUCUUUUGGAAAAUACAUCAUGUGACAGGAAUGAUGAUCAUGGAAUUCUUUACUAUUACAACAUAUAUUGCAUGAUUAAACCAUAAAAAUAUGAUAAAUCACUAGCAUUUGAUUGGGAAACUGCUGAGGAGGAAAUAAAUUCAGAUAUGGAAUAUGACAUCAAGCUAGGUACAGUCAAACCUCUCUAUAACAACCUCAUUUGUUCCGAUAUUUUUUGGUUACUAUAGUGAAGUGUUGUUGCGAAGAUUAUAUAUUAAAACAUAACAUACAAAUCGGUUCCAAGAAAAACUGGAUUUUUAUAGUGAAUGACUGUUAUAUAGGGAUGUUAUUAUAGAGAGAUCUGACUGUACAGUAAUUGUCAUUUGUCAAUUUUGGAUGUUGUGAGGUUCUCAUUAUGCAGGGCCAUAUGUGAUCAGAACAAAACCAGGUAAUGAAUUAGCAGCUGCAUAGUGAAGGAUUCUAACAAAGUCACUCAAAAGAAUGUUGCUUCAUAUGAUAUUUGGGAAUAGUAGCAUAGUUGCUUAGUCGUCGUCCCUUCUUUUAACGUGAUACAAUAUAGGUGUGUUUCGUCGCUCAAACCCUUACUUCUUCCCUCCUCUUCUCCUCUUCUCAGUGUAGAAAGCAUACCCACCGCUCCCUUGCUGUGGCUGGUACCUGUUGCUGGUGGGAGGUGGUCGAGUUGCGUUCAAGUUGGUCUGGACACCACAGUUAUAAAAAAAAAAGGUGUCUCCAGCCGAGGUAAUUCAGUUCUUUAGUUUGUGGCGGAGUCGCGGAGAGUUGUAGAAGACUCGGUUAUUAAAGAUCUAAUUGAAGUAAUUCUUGAGCCACCUUUAUCGCUAUGUUGCUUCAAUCUUGUGUUAAGGAUAUUCAACCAUUUACAUGACUUUUCUUUUACCUAUACGCGCAAGAUAGUCAUUCGACAAAAGGGAUUCAAUUGAACCCUUUAAAACCAUGCAGUUGUACACUAGUACUAUAUUACUACAGGAAAUUUUGCAGUCAAGAAUCCCAUAAUGCACCAGAAUGAAGAUGGUUUUAAUUACCAUGCAACCUGGUGCACUAGCCCCCGCUAUGUGCGGGGUUCGAGGUUGGACCACAGGAGUUUUAAUUACAAUAUGUUAUUCAGAUUAAGUAUUCUUACCAUAUUGCUAGGGUCCUCUUGUUUCUUGCCAGGAAAUUCCUGAUCAUUUGCCAACCCGUGGCGUGCGCCUAAUCCAUUUUUAUGCUGCUGCUGAUCAUUUGUCAAUCCGUGGCGUGCACCUAAACCAUUUUU
rnacentral:lncRNA from 1 species